ACUGUAUGGACAAAAACGAAGCGAAAAGAGAAUGGGAUUUGCAAGAAUAGUUUUGAUAAGGUCAGUAGCAAUCGGGGAAUGCUAUGAUAAUAAGCGUAGAACAAUGAUCUCCCUUUCUUUUCUUUUGCAGAUAAGCUCGAUCCUGAAUUUUAAACUACGCAGUUAAAAGUAAUAUUUGCGAUAUGAUGUCUAAAUUUCGCUAUUGGAAGAUUCUUGUUUCAUUCGUUUUGCCCAUCGGCAACGCGGGCUUUCAAUUCAAUAUAUAUGUAGGUGAACGAUGUUUGCUGUAAUAGUUAACUUCACUAGCGUCUCAUACCACCAGCAGACAAAGUGCGUGGCAAGCCGUUUGAUCAACAAUUCUAUUGCUCGAUGAUUUUUAAGAGUGAUGUCAAAGUCCGAGUGCGGCAAAAAUAAGACAGCGUAGCUUUAGAAGUGAUUUCGAUGAAUUUCACUCAAACGGAGGAUUGCGACGAACAAGGAGCCGCAAUGUCGUUUGUUCAAAAUCGGAUUUCUUGGUUCCGUGACAUUUUGCAAAUAAGCUAGAAUCCAUCUUCAUACGACUGUGUCGUAUUGAAUGGAAAUGGAAAACUGAAAGAAUGGGUUCGAAAUGGAAAACGACAUUCUGAGGAUGUUUGACAGAAUCGGUUAUGUGAACCGAAAGUGAAUGUACGUGGUAUUAGCGUAGAAUUGUUUGAAAACUAAAAUGGUGUUACUUUUUGAAAACUGUUUCGUUUGUAGUAGGUUGAUGGUUGAACAAGACAAAACAAAGAUUAUUAAGGUAGCUUUAGAUUCAGGGAUGUUUAUUAUGACAGUGUUUGAUUUGGGUAGGAGAUUGACAGUUUAAGUAUGGAAAUAGGCAUUCAAUAGCAUAUUUGAAUUGAAUCACUAAUGAACUCGACUCGCAUUACUUUAACAUUUUGUCAUUUGUUGUGUAGAAGAGAGUUUGAGAAGACAAAUCAAAGAUGAUCAAAGUUGGUGUUAUUAAAUAAAUAUCAUGCCGAAAAUACAGCUGAAAUAAAUAUUAUAUACGAUUUUAACGAUGUGGUGCUAGAUGAGGCUGAAAAUCUGGAGGUAAAAUCAUGUAUGAAAUAUAUAUUUCUCCACAAUUAACAGGUAUCUUGAAGCCGUGCAGGGUAA